GUGGCCGUAGUGUUAAGGGUCCAGCACGCGAGGUUGUGGCCCUCGCAGUAUGGGUUCAAAUCCCAUCGGUCACC
rnacentral:tRNA from 1 species